AAAAAAAUAUAUGAUAUACAUUGCCAUGUAAACUUCCACCGAAAAUUGGUUUGAACGAGAUCUAGUAAGUAGUUUUUUUUUAAUACGUCAUGAAAUUAAAAAAAAAAUUUUUUUUUCAUCAUACCCAUACGUGUGGGGUAUCUAUGGAUAGGUCUUCAAAAAUGAUAUUGAGGUUUCUAAUAUCAUUUUUUUCUAAACUGAAUAGUUUGCGCGAGAGAACCUUUCUAAAGUGAAAAAAAGUGUGUCCCCCCCCCUGUAACUUCUAAAAUAACAGAAUGAAAAAUCUAAAAAAAAUAUAUGAUAUACAUUGCCAUGUAAACUUCCACCGAAAAUUGGUUUGAACGAGAUCUAGUAAGUAGUUUUUUUUAAUACGUCAUGAAAUUAAAAAAAAAUUUUUUUUUUCAUCAUACCCAUACGUGUGGGGUAUCUAUGGAUAGGUCUUCAAAAAUGAUAUUAAUGUUUCUAAUAUCAUUUUUUUCUAAACUGAAUAGUUUGCGCGAGAGAACCUUCCAAAGUGAAAAAAAGUGUGUCCCCCCCCCUGUAACUUCUAAAAUAACAGAAUGAAAAAUCUAAAAAAAAUAUAUGAUAUACAUUACCAUGCAAACUUCCACCGAAAAUUGUUUUGAACGAGAUCUAGUGAGUAUUUUUUUUUUUCAUCAAACCCAUACGUGUGGGGUAUCUAUGGAUAGGUCUUCAAAAAUGAUAUUUAGGUUCCUAAUAUCAUUUUUUUCUAAACUGAAUAGUUUGCGCGAGAGACACUUCCAAAGUGAAAAAAUGU